rnacentral:rRNA from 1 species
UACGUAGGUGACAAGCGUUUGUCCGGAUUUACUGGGCGUAAAGAGCGCGCAGGCGGUCGUUUCAAGUCGAGUGUGAAAGCCCCCGGCUCAACUGGGGAGGGUCAUUCGAUACUGAUCGACUCGAAGGCAGGAGAGGGUAGUGGAAUUCCCGGUGUAGUGGUGAAAUGCGUAGAUAUCGGGAGGAACACCAGUGGCGAAGGCGACUACCUGGCCUGUUCUUGACGCUGAGGCGCGAAAGCUAGGGGAGCAAACGGGG